rnacentral:rRNA from 1 species
GAGAGUAGAGCGGCGGACGGGUGAGUAACGCGUAAGAAUCUACCUAGUAGUGGGGGACAACUCGGGGAAACUCGAGCUAAUACCGCAUACGCCCUACGGGGGAAAGCGGGGGACCUUCGGGCCUCGCGCUAUUAGAUGAGCUUGCGUUGGAUUAGCUUGUUGGUGAGGUAAUGGCUCACCAAGGCGACGAUCCAUAGCUGGUCUGAGAGGAUGAUCAGCCACACCGGGACUGAGACACGGCCCGGACUCC